rnacentral:lncRNA from 11 species
CUCACCUGUUGCAGCCACUGACUGUUUCCGUGUUGGGGCUUCCUCCCCCUCUCCUCUCCUUCCCACACGUUCGUGUGCAGUGGGCACUCAAGCAGAUUGGCACGAAGAAAGAGAAAACUGAGUAGGAUUCAUGGCAGAACCAGCAGUGAGAGCAAGGGAGGAACUGCAUUGCCAGG